GUGAAGUGACGGUUUUGCCUCUGCUUAAGUGAUGGUCUGCUUUCAUAAGUUUAGGAAUAGUGAUGAGCAGUGAAUUAGCCGUUUUACCCUCCAGCCCUGUUCUCUUCUCUUCGGGACUUCGUUGGAGUCGCUGAGACAAGGAAAACCAUUGAUCAGCCCCACACCCUUCCCCUUCAUCGCAGCGCCGCCGCCCCCCCUCUCUCUCUCUCCGCCGCCGCCACCGUCAUCAUCACGAGCAGCGACUCUCUCCUACCAUCUCCGAUGGACGGUUCUGAUGCCUCACCCGUUGGAUCUCCCGAUCGCGCCUCCUCUGAGAUUCAACGACAGCUGUCCGACGAUGACGUGAUCAAUCUUCUGGGACCGGCGGUCUCUCCGAGGAUCUCAAACAAAAAAUUAUUAAGCAGGCAAGAUAUCUCUGUCUCUCUCUAUUUGAGCAUUUGGAUAAUGAACCCCAGGAGCUUAAUAUAUGUUUGCAUCUAAAAGGAAAUAUGAUUUGGAACUGAUGUUCUGAGCUAAUCGACCAGUCUCUCAGCUGGAAGGGUCUGAGCAUGAGGACAAAGGUGAUUUUGCAAUCUCACCAAAGCAUUUCAAAGUUGCUUGGGUGAAGUUGAUGACUGUGUGCAUUGCAGUACUACAACAACAAAACAGCGCAAUUACAUCUAUCCGUGGACUUUGAAAUAGAAACAAGGCUUUUGAAUUGGUAAUGGGAGGUGACUGUUUGUGCUUGAACAAAGGCUUGCCAUUGCCCUUGCUGCUGUUGUGGGACAGAGCCAGCGUAUGUGUACAGAAGUUACGAACAACACAGAAUGUUGACUGACUUUGAAGGUGCUACAAGAAAAACGAAGUAGGGUUCCGCAUUUGGUCUAGCAAAGAGGGUACUGGGAUGCUUGGGGGUUCUUUUUAUUCUCAGUUCCACUGCAUAUUAUAACUUAGAUGGGUCUGCUUUAAGAAGGUUCGGAGCUGCAUUUGGAGCCUCAUUUAUUUGGCUUGCGGGCUUGAUUUACUUCCCCAGGCAAAUGGCACGGCUGACAACUCUCACAUCAUUGAGGUGGUACGGCCUGUUGGAGCAUAAUAAGAGUCUAAACCGCCCGUUUUCUAGGGAUGAGGUUGAAGGUGCCUUGAAUCAAAUGUUCCCUACCAAAUCGCCAUGAGUAUAUGGCAUGCCUGCUUUGUUUUAUUAGAAGUACUGGGAUAUAGUGGCUUUCUGUGUAAAUAUUCUGAAUGAGGGAGCAACCACACGCUCUUGACUCUCAUCUCGAAGGUGCACAGGCCAACGAAGGUUACUGAGUUUCGACCAAUCAAUUUAUGCCCAGUGCUAUAUAAAAUUAUAUCUAAAUCUUUGGUGAACAGAUUGAAGCUGAUCAUGCUUUUUAUUAUUUCCGAAUAUCAGAGUGCCUUUGUUCCUGGAAGGAUUAUCACUGAUAAAAUUAUAGCGGCUUUUGAGAGUAUCCAUGCUAUUAAACAGCGGGGUGGAAGUAAGCUGGAGAAGAUGAUCCUCAAGCUUGAUAUGUCAAAAGCGUAUGACCGGGUAGAAUGAGAUUUUUUAGAAGCUCUGUUCAGCAGAUUGGGUUUUAAUGCCAGAUGGGUUAACAUGAUUAUGGAUUGUAUUUCUACGGCUUCUUAUUCAAUUUAGGUGAAUGGAGAAGCUACGGGUAUGAUUGUGCCAACAAGGGGUUUGCGCCAGGGAGAUCCACUGUCCCCUUACUUGUUCCUAAUUUGUGCUGAAGGGGUUUCUGUGGUGUAGGGAGCUCCCAUUCUCUCCCAUUUAUUUUUUGUUGAUGACAGUUUACUUUUCUAUAAUGUGCAUUUAUCUGGAGUGUCCAAUUUGCUUCAGAUUCUCAGUGUGUACAAACAGGCAUCUGGUCAAAUGAUUAAUUUCGACAAGUCCGCUGCCUGUUUUAGUCUCAAGACUGAUCCUAUCACAAAGCAACUAAUCUCGGACAUGCUUGGGGUUAGAAUUGUGGCUUGCCAUGCGAGAUAUCUGGGGCUACCUACAGUUACCCAACGAAACAAAUAUAUGAUGUUCAGCCAUGUUCGCGACACGUUGUUGCAGAAAUUAUCUACUUGGAAUUCAAAAUUGUUGUCAACAGCAGGUAAAGAGGUAUUAAUCAAAGCAGUGGGGCAAGCGCUACCUACUUAUACAAAAUUGUUGUCGUCUUACGUUUGCCUUUUCAAGGGCAGAGUAAAGCCCAAAGGCGAUUUACAAGAAAAGGAAACUGGAGUGCAGUGGCAGAUUUUGAAGCGAUGGGAGGUGCCCUGGGAAUGGCAAACAGUGUCCUUAACAUCACUUGCUUGUGGACUGAGUUUUAUUUUGACAGGAUUGGUAGAGACAGCAGCUGUACCGUAUUUAGGACUUCGAGUUCAAGAUUUGAGUAUAGAUGAAAAGGCAGAGAUACUGUUUCUUGAUCGAGGUAUUACAACUGCAGCUGUACUUGCAGUUCUGUAUACUGUUGCCAACACUUUCCAACCGCUGCCUCAAGACGUUUAUCGCUGUGGUACUGAUUUUUCCAACUCCUUUUUUACUUUAUAGUAAGACAACAAAGACACAAACACACACACACACACGCACACAGAGGUGAGAAAGGGUUCCUGUUAUCCCAUUUUCUUGUAGUUGUCUCAAUGAGAUAACACUUUCAGUCUACAGAAGGGGUGGCUUUUGUGGGCGGGGAUUGGUCUUGCUUGUGCAAUAGCUGCCAUCGCAGUGACAGAGGCUGCUGCGUCCUUGUUCAGGGGGGAGAGCCCAGAGAGAGAGUUCGUACCCUAUGAUUUCUCUCUCGUUAUAAAGUGCAGCGGACACAAAUUCUAUGAUUCUUCAGGAUCAAUUCCACCAUGUAAGGAAUCAUAUAUGUGAUUUUUAUUAAUUUUUACUUGGUUUCAGAAGGACGCUCUAGUUAGCUUGCUUCCACUGAUUGGAUCUUCAAGUGUCAGCACUGCUUGCUUGUUGGGCAUCACUGGAGUUUUGGCUCCAAUUCGUGAGGAAACUGUAUUUCGGGGUUUUUUUUAUGGUCUCCAUGACUGAGUGAUUUCACAAAAUUCUACAAACAAGAGUGAAGCCUGAAGAAGUGUACAUGCUGAGAAAUAUAUGGUAGAAGAAACUGCUUUUGUGGCACUGAUGUAGUAAAAAUUGCAGAAUCAUCCAAAUAUUUGAUAUAAGGGUACCUACACCAGUUGCUAUUGGAAUAGGUGCAGCUGUAUUUGCACUUGCACAUCUCACUCUGGGAGAGUUUCCCCAGCUGUUUGUGCUAGGCUCUGCUCUGGGAUUGUCAUA